rnacentral:tRNA from 1 species
GUCUCGGUAGUGUAAUGGAUCAGCACGGCAUAUCGCAUAUUUGUUAGUGCGUGUUCGAGUCCCGCCUGAGGUG